rnacentral:rRNA from 1 species
GAUGAACGCUGGCGGCGUGCCUAAUACAUGCAAGUCGAGCGAACAGACGAGGAGCUUGCUCCUCUGACGUUAGCGGCGGACGGGUGAGUAACACGUGGAUAACCUACCUAUAGGACUGGGAUAACUUCGGGAAACCGGAGCUAAUACCGGAUAAUAUAUUGAACCGCAUGGUUCAAUAGUGAAAGACGGUUUUGAUGUCACUAAUAGAUGGAUCCGCGCCGCAUUAGCUAGUUGGUAAGGUAACGGCUUACCAAGGCGACGAUGCGUAGCCGACCUGAGAGGGUGAUCGGCCCCACUGGAACUGAGACACGGUCCAGACUCCUACGGGAGGCAGCAGUAGGGAAUCUUCCGCAAUGGGCGAAAGCCUGACUGAGCAACGCCGCGUGAGUGAUGAAGGUCUUCGGAUCGUAAAACUCUGUUAUUAGGGAAGAACAAAUGUGUAAGUAACUCUGCACGUCUUGACGGUACCUAAUCAGAAAGCCACGGCUAACUACGUG